CUUUCUGUAUUUUCCCUUUUUUUUUUAUUUUUAAGUGGUUUCUUGUUGUUUAUAUAUGUGCUAAGUGCAAACACAUACACACAAGCAAAUGCAUAUGUAUAUUUAAUGUAGUCACGCCUCAAUAGUGAUACUCUAUAUUUCUGUGUAUGUUUUUUCCAAUUCUGGAUUCUCUAAAAGCAUAGCUAAAUGUGAAACAGGGGAGCUGUUAGUAUUUAUGAGCUUUCGUCAAACUUUUGCAGAUAUGCAAGAUGCACAGAAUCAGUGUCCACUGUUUCCCUCAUGCAUACUAUGCUCAUCUUGCUGCAUUUCAAGCUCGUUUCUAUGCGGAGCUGAGGUGGGGUUGCACGAAGCAUGCGGGCAGGAGAUCUGGGUGCUGCUGAUAGGCCCUUGGCGUACAUUGAUUAAUCAUGGUGGCUAUUCUAUGCAAUGCACUAUUGGAAUGAUAACAGAAUGGCUAGUCUCAACUCUACUCAUCUCUACUUCAGCCAGCGAGAUCUUUUUUGUGUUGGAGACUCUUUUUAGCUCGUCUUCCCGUUGAGAGUAUUUUGAAGAGAUAAGGCCUUCAUAUUGCUUCCCGUUGCUGUACCUGUCGGAGGGCUUUGAAGACUAUCAGCCAUUUGUUUAUUGAAUGCCCACACACAGUUGCUAAUUUUGAUUACAUUGGUGCUUUUUUUUUUUUUUUUUUUUUUCCCUUAUCAAUCUGGCCAAUGUGAAUUCUCCUUUGGCAUUAUUUGAAAGACUCUUGUCCAUCAGAUUCAGUGAUCAGCUUAAAAAUCUGCCAAAGGCCUCUGUCACAGCAGGUUUCUCUAUUCUUUUAUUUAUUCCUAAUCAACAUCUGCAUUAGGAUUUUUUUUUUCUUCCUAUUUCGAGGGCUUGGGUAUUUAUUUAUCUUGCAAUUUUUUAUGCUAAUCGUCUCCAAUCUGGCUCAACGGCAAACUAAAUGAAUGAUCUAAUCAUUCUCCGAAAGCUUCGUGUUUCUUCUAUUCUCCCACGUGCGCCUCAAAUCAUCUCUGUUGUUUGGAAUUUACCUUUGGCUGGUUGUUUGAAAGCUAAUACUGAUGGAGCUUUUAUUGGUAAUGCUGCGAGCUGUGGUGGAGUUUUCCGGGAGUGUAAUGGAAUGGUUCUUGGUUGUUUUAGUUUUAAUAUGAAGCUUGCAUGGGCUCUUGAAGCUGAAUUAGUUGCUGCGAUGCAUGCUCUAGAAUUGGUCAUGAAGUUCUCUUGGGAUCUUCUCUGGCUUGAAUGCGAUUCUUCUUAUAUUGUUGAUCUGUUUAAAUAUAAGUCUUUGUGGGUUCCUAGGAAAUUUAAAGCAAGAUGGUCAAACUGUUUGCAUUUUGUGAACUCUACCUCAUUUUGGGCCUCUUAUAUCUCUUGUGAGAGCAAUUCUGUAGUAGAUAUCCUUUCUAAGAUGGCUAUUAAUUCUUCUCUUUCAA